ACUAACAAGGAUUCCCCUAGUAACUGCGAGUGAAGCGGGAAAAGCUCAAAUUUAAAAUCUGGCGGUCUUCGGCCGUCCGAGUUGUAGUCUGGAGAAGUGCUUUCCGCGCUGGACCGUGUAUAAGUCUCUUGGAACAGAGCGUCAUAGAGGGUGAGAAUCCCGUCUUUGACACGGACUACCAGUGCUUUGUGAUGCGCUCUCAAAGAGUCGAGUUGUUUGGGAAUGCAGCUCAAAAUGGGUGGUGAAUUCCAUCUAAAGCUAAAUAUUGGCGAGAGACCGAUAGCGAACAAGUACCGUGAGGGAAAGAUGAAAAGCACUUUGGAAAGAGAGUUAAACAGUACGUGAAAUUGCUGAAAGGGAAACGCUUGAAGUCAGUCGCGUCGUCCAGAACUCAGCCUCGCUCUCGCUUGGUGCACUUUCUGGAUGACGGGCCAGCAUCGAUUUUGACCGUCGGAAAAGGGCUGGGGUAAUGUGGCACCUCCGGGUGUGUUAUAGACUGCAGUCGCAUACGACGGUCGGGAUCGAGGUUCGCAGCGCGCCGCAAGGCAGGGGUUCGCCCACUUUCGCGCUUAGGAUGCUGGCAUAAUGGCUUUAAAC
rnacentral:rRNA from 2 species